rnacentral:rRNA from 1 species
GAUGAACGCUAGCGGCAGGCUUAACACAUGCAAGUCGAGGGGUAGAAGGAGCUUGCUCCUUUGAGACCGGCGCACGGGUGCGUAACGCGUAUGCAAUCUACCUUUUGCAGAGGGAUAGCCCAGAGAAAUUUGGAUUAAUACCUCAUAGUAUGUGAGGAUGGCAUCAUUUCACAUUAAAGUCACAACGGCAAAAGAUGAGCAUGCGUCCCAUUAGCUAGUUGGUAAGGUAACGGCUUACCAAGGCUACGAUGGGUAGGGGUCCGUGAGAGGGAGAUCCCCCACACUGGUACUGAGACACGGACCAGACUCCUACGGGAGGCAGCAGUGAGGAAUAUUGGACAAUGGGCGGCAAGCCUGAUCCAGCCAUGCCGCGUGCAGG